rnacentral:lncRNA from 1 species
CAACCUGUUAAAUGACACAAUGCUCUAUGUACAAUAAAUAAACAAAAAUAAAAGUAAAAAUAAAAAAUUAAUGAGAGAUUAUGUCACUGGUAGAAAUGUGCUGAAACGUGGCCUUUUGCAAGCCUUUAAAGGAGUUUUCAGAGCUUACCUAAACUGUGUAGUCAUGCUGCUGAUAGACAGCCAAGUUCACGUGAGGACCAGUCCAAGAGCACCUUCAAAGUAGAGUAAUGAUUUACCUCCCAUAUAAACUGCAAGACGCAUUAGACACCACAUUCUGUCAACACAGAAUCUCAGUAGCUGGAGCCCAGAAACAACUACCCUCCUUCAUUCUUGUAUCACAAAUUGAGCCUUGAAAUAGUUGUCAGUCAGGACUCCAGGAAAUAUGGAGGUUAGAGAAAAAGCAGCUAUAAAGACAAAGCACUGGGAUCAAGAAGAUACAAGCCAGAAUCCAUAUUUAGGUUCCUAUCCUCCCAUCAAUUUCAUGUCUCAAUUUCCUUUAUUCUUGCUGGGAGAUGAACUGAGCUCACUCUGCGCCUACCAUGAGGCAAAGGAUGUCUUAGGAAGUUGGACUGUGCAUACAACAGCUUCUACCUGUUUCUCUGUAGCUGUUUUCUUCAUCCACUCAAGAACUGUUCAACCUGAGAAGCAGCCAAUCAAUAAGUGAACAAGUAGUCCUUCACAGAACUCCAGCAAAAAAAGUGUGCAUACAAGAGGCAGAAGCAGGAGAACUGGAAAGAAUAGUAUAUGAAGAUAUUGCUUGAUUGUGCAAGCAUGGAGUUAGGAAAGCUGAAGCUGACGUGGAGCUGAAUCUGAUGAGAAACGUGAAAAACAAUAAGAAAAGGCUUGGGAAAAUGUCGUGUCUUUGUGACAAAGGAUACAGAAAAGGACAAGGUAUUCAAGAUCUUCUUUGCCUUGUAUGAAUAGUUUUCAGUAAUCCAAGCCCGUGAGAUCUGUAGAAAAGUCUACAGCAAGGAAUACUCCCCUUGGAGGAUGAGGAUUGAGACAGAGAACAAAUAAACAAAUUGGGUAAAUCCA